CCGUUGGGGAUGCGGUGGGACAUU
rnacentral:rRNA from 1 species